rnacentral:rRNA from 1 species
UACGUAGGGUGCAAGCGUUGUCCGGAAUUAUUGGGCGUAAAGAGCUCGUAGGCGGUUUGUCGCGUCGAAUGUGAAAUCCCGGGGCUCAACCCCGGGCCUGCAUUCGAUACGGGCAGACUAGAGUUCGGUAGGGGAGUCUGGAAUUCCUGGUGUAGCGGUGAAAUGCGCAGAUAUCAGGAGGAACACCGGUGGCGAAGGCGGGACUCUGGGCCGAUACUGACGCUCAUGCACGAAAGCGUGGGGAGCAAACAGG